rnacentral:misc_RNA from 1 species
GAUCAGGAAGAGACUGGAUGGAAGUACAUCCACGGUGAUGUAUUUAGAUAUCCAAAGUUCAAGUCAUUAUUUGCUGCAGCCCUUGGGUCUGGGACCCAGCUGUUCACUCUCACUGUAUUUAUUUUUAUUCUUGCACUGGUUGGUGUAUUUUAUCCAUAUAACCGAGGAGCUCUAUUUACUGCACUGGUAGUCAUAUACGCACUGACUUCUGGGAUUGCUGGAUAUACAGCAACCUCUUUCUAUUGUCAGCUGGAAGG